rnacentral:rRNA from 1 species
AUUGAACGCUGGCGGCAGGCCUAACACAUGCAAGUCGAGCGGCAGCGGGAAAGUAGCUUGCUACUUUUGCCGGCGAGCGGCGGACGGGUGAGUAAUGCCUGGGAAAUUGCCCAGUCGAGGGGGAUAACAGUUGGGAACGACUGCUAAUACCGCAUACGCCCUACGGGGGAAAGCAGGGGACCUUCGGGCCUUGCGCGAUUGGAUAUGCCCAGGUGGGAUUAGCUAGUUGGUGAGGUAAUGGCUCACCAAGGCGACGAUCCCUAGCUGGUCUGAGAGUAUGAUCAGCCACAGUGGCACUGAGACACGGUCCAGACUCCUACGGGAGGCAGCAGUGGGGAAUAUUGCACAAUGGGGGAAACCCUGAUGCAGCCAUGCCGCGUGUGAAGAAGGCCUUCGGGUUGUAAAGCACUUUCAGCGAGGAGGAAAGGUUGAUGCCUAAUACGUAUCAACUGUGACGUUACUCGCAGAAGAAGCACCGGCUAACUCCGUGCCAGCAGCCGCAGUAA